CUAGUUAUUUUUAUUUUAUAUUUGUUUGUAAAUCUAAAUCUCCCUAAAUCUACAUAGGUGUCUAGACAUAAUGUCGACACACCAAUACCAUGUGGGAAUAAUCCAAUACGCUUGUAGCACAUUAUAUACUUAACCACUAUAUUUAUUUCAAAGUGGUCAAUUAAAAACUAAGUCACAUAAUUUUCAAAUUGCUAAAAAUAUAAAAUAUAAGUAUGAGAGAGUAUUAUAACCAUGAUUUGAAUACUAAGAGUGGAUCACGUUACUUCAACUUUUUUUUUAAUUUAAACUAUUUAUUCUUUACUUAUUUUUUACAAUUAAUUUCAUUUAAUAAUUAAUAAUCGGAUUUUUAAAUUCUCUGUUAAUUCGACCCCAGACCCAUCGAGUUAUAUUAUAACUAAGAACUCUUAUAUUUAGAGGUAAUCAACCAUUUUUUAGUCGUAAAGUUUUCUAAAUUUGAUGUCAAUUUCAUUUUAUUUUUUCCUCAUUUUUUUAUUUAUAGUUUGCUUUUGAGUUUUCCCUUUCUCAUUUCUUUUGUUUAGUUGUCACAAUUUUCAUAAAAUUUCAGUUAAUGCCCCUCAUUUUCCUAAAAUUCAUGUACUACUAUAAAACUUGCCAAGAAAUUCAUUUUGACCCACAAAUCCUUGCAUAAAUCAGUCGUAGAUCAAAAUUUCACAUAAAAUUGGAAACUUUAACCUAUGAAUUGUGAUUUAUCCUUGAACUUCCUUGAAAUAUUUGACUUUGUAGACUAAAUAAGCAUAGAUAAUAAUGUAGGAAGUUAUUUUAGGUAUUUUAAAACUCUGGAAUUUUAUUAUUUUAAAACUUUCUAUUUUAAUUAGAGUCAAUUAUGAUAUUUUAUUAUUUUAGAACUUUCUAUUUUUAUUAGGGUCAAUUAAAGUAUGAGAUGUAAUUAAGUUAGGAAAAUAUCUUUUAUUUCCAUUAUAAUUGUGAUUUAGUUUCCCUUUUUAAGUUAAUUUAGUGAAGUAGGUUUACUCUAUUAUAAAUAGAGAGGUUUUGUUAUUAUUUUGAUAGCUGAGAUUCAAUUAUUCAAUAAAAUUCUCCCUUUUAUAACUCCCCCCCUGCGAUUAUCUAUCAAAAUCUCUCUUGUAGAGUCAUUUGGAUUAGAACGUCAUCUAAUCUCGCUUAAAUGCGUUAUUAAAAAUCUCAUUGAGUCAUUUGGGUUAGAACGAGAUGUAACCACACUUCGAUUAGAGCGUAACCUGAUCACGUCAGCUUGGUCUACUACUGAACGAUAUAUAGUGUUUUUUACCCUAUCAAUUCCGCUUCUACUAUGCCUCGCUCCAUCAAUUGGUAUCAGAGUGGUUCUGUGUGAUUCGCACAACUUUCCUGAAUACCCAAAUCCUCUAGAUCCACCCAUACCAAAUCCACCACAAAAAAAAAUCAAAAAUUCCCAAAUUGACAAACCCUAGCCGCCGCCAUCUCCGGCCACUAUAGUUGCUAUUCAACCCACUACCAGACUCACCAUCACUCAGUGCCCAAACCCCAGCCAUCGCCGCCUCAACCGCCGGCUGAACCAUUGUAAAUCACCAAUCCAAACCCACGACUCCACUAAGCAAUCCACCACCGUUCAGCCACUUUCACCGCCAUCCAACAUUGCCAUCAAACUCACCAGCCACUACUAGCCAAAUCCCAGCUAGCUUCGCCUUCAACCGUUGCCAUUCAGCCACCGUGUGAAAGCAACCAAAUCCCGCAAGCCACCACUCUAAAACCCGCCGCCUACAGCCUUCACCACUGUUGACCAGCACCACUGUCACACUCCCCUUGAGCCAUACAUCCAAAAUCAAUCACCAAUUGCCACUAAACACGGCCAAAAACCACCACGAACCACCAUAAGCCACUACACUUUUGAAAUGCAAGUUAUGCAACCCAAGAGGGGGGUGAAUUGAGUUUUUAUAAAUUAUACUAAACAAUUCGCGCAACAAUUUAAUCUAAUGCUUUAAUGAAAUUGAAAAUAAUAAAUUCAAUAUAGCACAAUAAUAAAAGAGUAAGGGAAGAGAAAAAAAAACAAGGAUUUUUACGUGGUUCGGCAAUCCCUGCCUACGUCCACGCCUUCAAGCCAAACAAGCUCGAUGAUUUCACUAUCCAAGCCUCCCAAGGCUUCAAGUUCUUACAAUUGACUUCUAAGGUGUCAAUGAACCUUUACAAUCAAGAGAUUAUCUCUCCAAUCUCUUCACCCCAAGUGUUUCUCACACUUGUACACUCACAAUUUGAUAAAAAAUAAAAAUUACAACAAAACUCUCUUUAAGAGUGGCUAUGCAAAUAAUAGCACAAUAAUGAUUAAAUAAAUGAUGAUUUACGAAAUGAAAGCUC
rnacentral:lncRNA from 1 species